rnacentral:lncRNA from 1 species
UUCAGCAUUUCAAAACUUUAUUAACCUAUCACCCGACGUUGGAGUUUUUAACCUGACAUGGUAAACCCACGCCGUUUUCAAAAAUUUCACUUUUUAUUUAAUCCAAAAUUAUAUUUUUAAUCAUCGGUCCGUCGUAGUUUUUUGUAAGAGAAAUUUUUCCACAUGAUCAUUUUUUCACGUGUUCAUCAUUCUUAGUUUUUGACGUCGUACCUGAAGACGCUUUUAGAAAAAGCGAAACAUUGUUGUACCGAAAUUA